rnacentral:lncRNA from 1 species
AUGGCAACAAAUGAAAGUGCCAGCAUCUGUAGUUCAGCAUUUGUAGCUGUGGAGUAUGUAGAUUCACUUUUACCUGACAGUCCUCUGCAAGAACCAUUUUAAAAUGCUUGGAAUUGUAUGUUAAUAAUUAUACAAUGUUCUAGAUUGCAACAUGGGGAUCUGCUAUUGUUCAUGAAAACUUUUAUUUCUUGUUCUUUUUACCUGGGUUUCUAUUUCAAUUUAUACCUUGCAUUAAAAAGAAUAACAUUGAAAAAUAUAAACCAGAGACAUAGGAAAACCAACGGAAGUGCUUUAAAUUACUUCUCUUUAAUCACUUUUGUAUCCAGCUGCUUUUAUGUGUGGAACCUAUUAUUUUACAGAGUAUUUCAAUAUUCUUUAUGAUUGAAAAAGAAUGACAAAAUGGUAUAUGCUUUUGGUAAGGUGCUUUGGCUAUACUACAGUCUUUGAUACUACUUGGCACUAUUUCUAAGCCUGCAUAGAUUCUUUUACCACAAAAAGAAUAUGUAAAUAGAUUCAUAAAAUUCAUCAUGAGUUUCAAGCUCCAUUUGGAAUAGAAGCUGAAUAUGCACAUCCUUUGGAAAUUCUAAUUCUUGGAACUGGAUUUUUCAUUGGAAUCAUGCUUUUGUGUUACCAUGUAAUUAAUUCUUCUUUGGACAUGGGUGACAAUUUAUUUGAUAGAAACUAUUGAUGCCCAUCGUGGUUAUGAUAUUCCUCUCAAACCUUUAAAUCUCAUCCUUUUCUAUGCUGGUUCUCAGCAUCAUGAUUUACACCACAUAAACUUCAUCAGAAAGUAUGCUUCUACAUUUUCAUGGUGGAAUACAAUUUUUCGAACACACUUUCAGUUUAAUGUUUAUAGUGAAAAUAUGAAGAAGUUUGAGAAAAAGCUGAAUAA